GCUGCUGGCGGAGCCUACCAUGCAGUCGAGCGGUAACAGAUCCAGCUUGCUGGAUGCUGACGAGCGGCGGACGGGUGAGUAAUGCAUAGGAAUCUGCCCGAUAGUGGGGGAUAACCUGGGGAAACCCAGGCUAAUACCGCAUACGUCCUACGGGAGAAAGGGGGCUCCGGCUCCCGCUAUGGGAUGAGCCUAUGUCGGAUUAGCUAGUUGGUGAGGUAACGGCUCACCAAGGCCACGAUCCGUAGCUGGUCUGAGAGGAUGAUCAGCCACAUCGGGACUGAGACACGGCCCGAACUCCUACGGGAGGCAGCAGUGGGGAAUAUUGGACAAUGGGGGCAACCCUGAUCCAGCCAUGCCGCGUGUGUGAAGAAGGCCCUCGGGUUGUAAAGCACUUUCAGCGAGGAAGAACGCCUAGCGGUUAAUACCCGCUAGGAAAGACAUCACUCACAGAAGAAGCACCGGCUAACUCCGUGCCACCAGCCGCGGUAAUACGGAGGGUGCAAGCGUUAAUCGGAAUUAC
rnacentral:rRNA from 1 species